rnacentral:rRNA from 1 species
UACAGAGGGUGCGAGCGUUAAUCGGAAUUACUGGGCGUAAAGCGCGCGUAGGCGGCUUUGCAAGUCGGGUGUGAAAGCCCCGGGCUUAACCUGGGAAUGGCAUUUGAGACUGCAUAGCUAGGGUGCGGAAGAGGGAAGCGGAAUUUCCGGUGUAGCGGUGAAAUGCGUAGAUAUCGGAAGGAACACCAGUGGCGAAAGCGGCUUCCUGGUCCAGCACCGACGUUCAGGCACGAAAGCGUGGGGAGCAAACAGG